AGAUUGAACGCUGGCGGCAUGCCUUACACAUGCAAGUCGAACGGCAGCACGGGGGCAACCCUGGUGGCGAGUGGCGAACGGGUGAGUAAUGCAUCGGAACGUGCCCAGUAGUGGGGGAUAACUAGUCGAAAGAUUAGCUAAUACCGCAUACGACCUACGGGUGAAAGCGGGGGAUUCGCAAGAACCUCGCGCUAUCGGAGCGGCCGAUGUCUGAUUAGCUAGUUGGCGGGGUAAAAAGCCCACCAAGGCUUCGAUCAGUAGCUGGUCUGAGAGGACGACCAGCCACACUGGGACUGAGACACGGCCCAGACUCCUACGGGAGGCAGCAGUGGGGAAUUUUUGGACAAUGGGCGCAAGCCUGAUCCAGCCAUGCCGCGUGCGGGAAGAAGGCCUCGGUGUAAACCGCUUUGGCAGGAACGAAACGGCGCGAGCAAAUAUCUCGCGUUAAUGACGGUACCUGCAGAAUAAGACACCGGCUAACUACGUAGCCAGCAGCCGA
rnacentral:rRNA from 1 species